GCAAACUUGGUCAUUUAGAGGAAGUAAAAGUCGUAACAAGGUUUCCGUAGGUGAACCUGCGGAAGGAUCAUUACAGAGGUAUUCAAACCAAGAUCACCCACUGUGUGCACUCAUUGGAGCCAUCUGGAAAUUGAAUUUUUUCCAAUGGUUUCCCAAACCUUUCACUUUUGUCUUUUAUUUGUCUGAUUCAAAUAAUAUUUGAAAACAAAACAACUUUCAACAACGGAUCUCUUGGCUCUCGCAUCGAUGAAGAACGCAGC
rnacentral:misc_RNA from 1 species